rnacentral:rRNA from 1 species
UACAGAGGUCUCGAGCGUUGUUCGGAUUCAUUGGGCGUAAAGGGUGCGUAGGCGGCGCGGUAAGUCGGGUGUGAAAUCUUGGAGCUUAACUCCGAAACUGCAUUCGAUACUGCCGUGCUUGAGGACUGGAGAGGAGACUGGAAUUUACGGUGUAGCGGUGAAAUGCGUAGAUAUCGUAAGGAAGACCAGUGGCGAAGGCGGGUCUCUGGACAGUUCCUGACGCUGAGGCACGAAGGCCAGGGGAGCAAACAGG